rnacentral:rRNA from 1 species
CCUACGGGAGGCAGCAGUGGGGUAAUUUUGGACAAUGGGCGCAAGCCUGAUCCAGCAAUGCCGCGUGAGUGAAGAAGGCCUUCGGGUUGUAAAGCUCUUUUGUCAGGGAAGAAACGGUGGGAGCUAAUAUCUUCUGCUAAUGACGGUACCUGAAGAAUAAGCACCGGCUAACUACGUGCCAGCAGCCGCGGUAAUACGUAGGGUGCAAGCGUUAAUCGGAAUUACUGGGCGUAAAGCGUGCGCAGGCGGUUGUGCAAGACAGAUGUGAAAUCCCCGGGCUCAACCUGGGAAUUGCAUUUGUGACUGCACGGCUAGAGUGUGUCAGAGGGGGGUAGAAUUCCACGUGUAGCAGUGAAAUGCGUAGAGAUGUGGAGGAAUACCGAUGGCGAAGGCAGCCCCCUGGGACUAACACUGACGCUCAUGCACGAAAGCGUGGGGAGCAAACAGGAUUAGAUACCCUGGUAGUCCACGCCCUAAACGAUGUCUACUAGUUGUCGGGUCUUAAUUGACUUGGUAACGCAGCUAACGCGUGAAGUAGACCGCCUGGGGAGUACGGUCGCAAGAUUAAACCUUAAAUGAAUUGAGGCNGNGAGNGCGAGGACGACGACGAGGGAGGAGG